rnacentral:lncRNA from 1 species
AAGUUAUAGCCUAUAGGAUUCCACUUAAUGAGGGGAGGGGAGAUUCCAUCUACAUUCGUCGUAGGCAGUUUGGAAACCCAAUCAAGAUGCACAGUUUUGAGGUAAAUACAAGAUAGCAACUCGCAUACGGGCAAAAGAUAAAGGUAAAGAAGUUAACUUAUUGGAUGGCAAAAAUGGAAAUUGUAAACAUAAGGGCCCAAGCAGUGACCAGAUGAAGUACUAUUUAUUUAGGGGAGGGCGGGGGCUUUGGAUCCAGCCCCGUUCCGAACUUUUCAUGGGCCCUAGGCAGAAUGAGAAAAAAAGGCCCCUUUUUUUUUGAAAAAAAGGCCUCUUUAAGUGCAUACAAUUGUGUGUUUGUGGGCCAUCUUUUUCAAAGGAAUAAGAUUAGAGUCUUUGGGCUUGUACUGCAAAUUUUUUAUUGAUUGGGGCCCAAUAUAUAACUAAAAAGUCUUAUUUAUAUAAACUAAUAACAAUAAAAAUAAAAAAAUUGGGGCCCCAUUUGGCCCUGGGCCCUAGGCGGUCGCACCCCUCGCCUAUGCCCAGGGCCGGCCCUGUUUGGAUCUAUACAUAUUUGUGAAAUUUAAUGCUCAUCAUUGCUACAAAUUUCAGUUCGAAAUACAUACUUGAUUCUAUCAUAAGGCUGCUCUAACAUUCAUCAAUGUUGAUUAUCACCCAGAGAGAGAGAGCAAUUGAUGAUCAAUAUGCGUAAAGGAAUCAUAGUGCCCAAGUGAGACCACUUGGUACAUUAUGGAAUAUAUGAUAAGUGCAAUCCUACUUAGAACAGCUAGCUCCUAAAUACAUAUUUCACAUUUUCACCAAUUCCACAAUUAGAUAACAGAAUUUCAUGUCUAUUAUUCUUCACGUUUUUGAUAUUAUAACUGCAGAAUAGGACUUGGAUAACCAAUAGGUUCAACUGCAGAACAUUCAAAUAAGUAAUUGGAUAGAUCAUGAAAUAGCGAUAUCGUUUCCACUUCCAUUUUAAAAGUAGGGGUCCACAAACAUCCACUCACAACAAUAGUGGGGACCAACCAAAAUCCACUCACUAUAAUAUUCAAUAUUAUCUAUUACUAUUCAUCAUUUUUCUUAAAACUCGCGCCGUCACAAUGUGGAAACGAUAUCCCGGACGGAGAGAGUACUUUUUUUCCUAUCAAUCAUAAGACGGUGUACGUCAAUAGGAAAACUUGUGGUGGAAUAAAACUACCCUAGAUCUCUUGAUAUACCUGCAAUUAUAAUAAUUUAAUAAUAAUUGAUGAGUNAAAGGGUAUAAGAAUUGUUUCGCUAUCAUAUCAAUCCUCAUUGUAAGCUAAACUGCUUAAGGGUACAUGCAAGACCUUCCCAUAGUUUCUUAUAUGUUUGCAAACACGAACAACAAUAAUCACUAUAAACUAUAAAUCAUACUUGGAGCUCCAGUUUUGUUUUAAAGAUAAAUGCACACACAAAGAAGAAAGUUACAACUGCGGGAAGCAAAUGAUUCUGUUUAUAAAACUACAUACUAUUCAAUUACAAUUCCAUUCAUAUGAUCUUUUCUCUUUCCUUUCCUUUCUUCUUUCUUUUUCGUUGUUCUUUUUUUACUAAAGAAGCUCCCCGUACUCAACUCUAACCAUAACUUCUUGAAAGUGAUGCUUAUUUUCUCCAAAGCUUGAGGGGAGAUCUAGUUUCCUUCUGAAUUGACAUCAUUACUUUCCUUUCCACGAAUGAGUAACUUCCACUCGAUCGAACCACAAUUUCACAUUUGAUUAAAGCACAAAGGCUUAUCCCAAUUCUUCACAAAUUCAAAAGCCAUUCCAAUCAAGCAGACUUAGAGUCAGAACGUGAAAACUUUUUCAAAACUCAGCUCCACAAACUCAAAAAUAUAUAUAUAAAUAAAAAUAAAUAAAAAUUGACCUUCCAACAACUUCCAUCAAACCAACAAAAAAUCCCAUUGCAAACUACAACAUAUUCAGAAUUCACUCGACCACAAAAUCACAGAAAUCCAAUUGAUGAUCUUCCUAUAUGAGCUAGAAUACGAUCAGAACAAAUAUCAUCCUCCAACGCCUCAUCGAGAUCAUAAAAUCGCAAUCCGAAAUUGACGGCGCACCUGUUUGUAUCGGAACUCAAUCGUGUAUGUCAGUUGCAUGGGACUUAUAUCACCAGCAUCCGGCCGCGAAACUUGAAUAAUCAUAGCUUUAGGCAGCUCGUAAAAAUCCGCGCCGGCUCGCCGUCCGCAUAAUCAUGGUGAUGGAACGAAAAAACGACGACGCCAUCGCGUAAAUCCGUCUCCGAUUGCAUUUGGACGUACUUCGCCCCACCUGCCGCCGCCGCCGCCCAUCAAUUGCUCCGUCGACGACAUCUCCCCUCUGUUCUCUUUCCCCCUCCUCUCUCUCUCUAAAAACAUAAAAAUUCAAUCUAAGCACGAAUCUCAUUAAGUAUUGGAACAAUUCUAAACCAAUCAAAAUAUCACAAUUUGAUGAACAAAUUCUUAAACACACCACUAAUUUUAUUUUUCUUAAUCUUCGUGUCGAAAAGGUAUGUGCCAUAAAUAAUAAGACGGAUGAAGUACAAUAUUUUUAAGAAUUUGAAUCUCGAUGAUAACAUAAAAAAAUUUUAGUUAAUUUAUUUUAACUAUAAAUACAUUAUUAUCAUUUUUAUCAUGUGCUUAUAAAAAUACAGUUCCAAUUAGAAAUCACAUAUAUAAAAUAUACUCUCUACGUCAAUCAAAUAAGUAUCCAUUUAGAAAUUUAAGAAAUUAAUUAAGCAUGUGUGAAUGAAAUAAGGGUCUCAUUUUUAUUGAGAAUAUGAAAUUAAAUUUUGUGUAGUACACUUACCAAAAAAGAAAAUAGGUACUCAUUUGAUAGAUGAACCUAAAAAUAAAAUAUGAGUACUUAUUUGGUGAUGGAGAAACUAUUAGAUUUUGUGCGCUUUUCCAACUGUUGUAUAAUAACUUACUGUGUGUUUUAUGAUAUAAUACAUGUAUAUAUGAUUGUGUUAACAUAAAAAUCAAAAUUAUUAUGAAAAAUGAGAACCAAAUUUCGUAAAGACACAUUAACACGUAUUCUUGUUGAAUUGCAUUCUUAUUAUGAAAAAUGAGAUCGAAUUAUGUAUUUGUAUAUAUAACAUCAAUAUAUAUAUGUGUUAUAAGAAUAAUUUUAUUGAUAUACAUACAUUAUAUAUAUACUAGUGUAUUACCCGUCGAAAUUCGACGGGUACAUAUUUUCUUGUAAUUUAUAUAUUUUAUGUUAUUCUUAUGAUAAUUAUAUAAAAUAAUUUUUAUGUAAAUUAUUUAUAUAAUUAAUUAAAUUAAAUUAAAUUAGUAAUACAUUUUAAAUUAUAUUAAUCUCAACAACUUUUAGUAAUUAAAUUAUUAAUUUUGUUGAGAUCAUAAAAAUACCCAUUAGUUUUCAUAUGAAAUUUUAUAAAAAGUUGACGCGUAAGAAAAAAAAAGAGUAGAAAUACAUAUAAAUUUGACAUAGGUAUGAUGGAGGAUUGAUUUGUUGCAUUUGUUGUUACAAGAUUUAUUAAUUUUGUUCAAUUUUUUUUUAUUUUGCCUUUUGACCAUAAUUUUAUAUGGAGUUUGAAAAAUCAUAAUUGAAUUGUGAGUAUCAUAUAAUUCCGAACUUCUAAAAGCAUAACUAAUUAUGAAAAUAAUCUCGCCUGAUAUUUAAAAGACCAUAACUGAUUUAUCGAACAUCGUAUCAUUUGGAGUUUUAAGACCAACCAAGUUGUGGGCAUCAUCUCGUCGCAAACUUGACAGAUCACCUCUAACUUCUGAGCAUCAUCUUGUCUGAAACUUGAAAGAGAAUCAUCUCGUCUAAAACUUGAAAGAGCAUCAUCUCGUCUGGAGUUUUGAGCAUCAUCUCAUCUAGAGUUUGAGAGAGCAUCAUCAAAUAUGAAAUUAUAUUCAACCAUGACUCCAAUUGUCAACUAUCUAACAAACAUAACUCUAACAAUUUAGAUAUUUUAUUUAUGUAUGUAAUUUUAUUAGUUCAAACUCUAGAGAGAAAGGAAAGAGAAGAGUUCUUAAAGCAGUAAAAGAGAGAGCGUGUGCUUUAUUUCAUCAUCGUAGGUAUUUAUAGGCAUUACAGUCGGGGUAAAGUAGUAAAUUCGUUUGGUCAUCUAUUCCGCAUGCUCGCCAUUAAACUAAUUAAGGCUAUUAUUAGAUUAUAACUUGUCAGGUCGUUGUCCCCUAAUUACAGAGCUGGAUUCUGUCCUCAUCAUCCCGCUCUGUCUAGUAGCUCUGUAUUUCCUUCCUUGGGGCAGACUUCUACUCUUUGGCUCCGCUCUGCUAAGUAGCUCCGCCUUCUGGCGAAUUGUCUCUGGCGUGUGGCUCCGCGCUCUGGCUCCAAUAGCUUAGCUCUGACUCUGGAUCUGGCGAUUUGGCUCUGGCUCUGACUCUAACGACUUAGCUCUGACUCUGGAUCUGGCGACUUGGCUCUGGCUCUGACUUUAAUGACUUAGCUCUGGCAGCUCUGCUCUGGCAGCUCUGCUCUGGCAACUCUGCUCUGGCAGCUCUGCUCUGGAAGCUCUGCUCUGGUUAGCUCUGGCUCUGGCAGCUCUGCUCUGGCAGCUCUGCUCUGGCAACUCUGCUCUGGAAGCUUUGCUCUGGCAUCUCUGCUCUGGUUAGCUCUGGCUCUGGCAUCUCUGCUCUGGCAACUUGACUCUGGCCCUCUGCUCUGGUUAGCUCUGUCUCUGGAAGCUCUGCUCUGGCAGCUCUGUUCUGGAAGCUUUGCUCUGCCAACUCUGCUCUGGAGCUCUGCUCUGACUUUUCCUCUGCCUAUUUCUCACAGCUUCUUUGCUCCUCUGCUGCUCAUCUUUGGUAUUCCAAGCAAAGCCACGUGUCCUGAUCUUAGGACCUUGCAUAUUUCACCCCUCAUCAGAGUUGAUAAAUCAUAUUGCUUCCAUGCAACAAUCACAACACACUUGAUAGCAGAUGCCAAAAUUCUUUCCAAAAUUUGUUCUUUCUAAAAUAAUAAUCAUUCUAUAUUUAAAAUAGUGAAACACGUUAUUAAAUUAGGAAACUAAUUUAAUACUUACCAUAGGUGUGUAGGAAGAAUCACGGCAGAUCAGGAAAUGGAGGUAUCAAAACAGAGAAGUCGUCGGUGGGGUGGGGGUCGACGGCACGGUGGACGAACUCCAGGGCUCAGCGGUGACUCGGCGGCGGACGAACCGCAAGCUCAGCGGCGACUAUUUCGCCGGAGUCUAGAAGAAGGAACGACAACGGGUUAUAGGAAAAAGAAAUCUUAGGGCUCUUGUAUUAAUUGCUUCGAAUGGAGAAUUCUCAUGGGUUUAAGAAGUGGAAACAAAAUCGAACUAAUUAAGGAAUGGAAGAGGGAGUCAGAGAUGAGGCGGAGCAACGCCGCCCUUAGGACGGCGGCGACGCCUGAAUUUAGAGGGAGAGAGAGGCGGGCAGUUUAAGGGGGGAAUUAGGGCUCGAUUUGAGUGUGCAAUCGACUUUAGAGAGAGAAAAUGAUUGAGAGAAGAGAGAGACAGUGAAGGGGGAGACGACGCCGACCGGAUUCAGGGACGGCGGCGAUGGGGUGAGGAAGAGGGAGGCGUGACUUUUGUUUUAAAAGUGAGAAUGAGAAUAUAUAGAUUGGAUUCUCAAAUGCCACGUUGGAGAUUGAGAUUGAAAAGAAAGAAUUUGAGGCCUGCCACGUAGGCUAAGGCCUAAUCGUAUUAUAGAAUAGAUAUUAUUAUUAUUAUUAUUAUUAUUAUUAUUAUUAUUAUUAUUAUUAUUAUUAUUAUUAUUAUUAUUAUUAUUAUUAUUAUUAUUAUUAUUGUAGUAAUGGACGAACAGAAACAAAUAAAGUUUGCAGAAAUGAAAAAUAUAUUUUUCUUCCCUAUAUAAAUAAAAUGUAUGGAUUUAUUUUAUAAAAAAUAAAAAUAAAAUUUUAAUUAUUUUGAUAGACAUAAAAUAAGAUUUUGUUUUAAAGUAAUCAGUUUAUAGAAUUUGUGCCUUAUUAUGCAAACAUGUAAAUCAAUGACCGGACCCGUUUAUAAUUUACAUAUACGUGCAUGUCUCAAUUCAAACUUAAUUUAAAAUUAAUUUUAUUGAAAAUUAAGAAUAUAAAUAUUAUAUAUAUAUAUAUAUAUAUAUUCAUACAAUAUAAUAUAUUGCAACAUAUACAUAUAAUAUGUACGCUAUUGAGAAAUAUAAAAUUAAUAACAAAUAUACAUCUAAUCACUAACAUUCAAUUAAAAUAAUUUAUCGUAUAUAGAUUAUAAUUUUUUUCUUAUCAGACAUGUAAAUCUAAUUUUUAUCUAGAAAAAAUAAAUAAUAAAAUUUAUUAAUUUAGAUUAUAUGUAAUGUUAAUAUUAUUAUAUAUAUAUAUAUAUUAUUAAUUAUAUUUAUUAUGAUUAAUGAAUCUUUAUAUAGAAUGUAAUAGUUAAUUAAUUAAUAAAUGAUGAAGAUUAUAUAUGGUAAAUUUUGAAAUGGUGAGAUUUUAGAUAUGCCACAUAGGUUAAGGCUUAAUCCUAUUAUAUAAUAGAAUAAGACAUAUUAAUUAUACCAUAUGAGAAUAUAGUGUACAUGUGCCCACUCAUUAAAGCGUUCCUAAAACGUGUUCCACACUGGUCAACAAUUUGAAUAGUAAUUUUUUAUUCAAUACAAAGUGACAUAUUUACCAUAUAUUUUAAUGUGAUCUUCACAUUUUAUUGAUUUAUAACAAAAUUAUCUAAUUAUUAUACUACAAGUUAAAUACAUAAUGCCGAAUUAGAUUUUCACAUAAAUGGCUCGAAUUAAAUUUCAGAAUCCCACCAGCCAAGAACAGUUCACAACUGAUACGCCUCAAUAUCAUAUCAAUAAUUCCUCCAUUUCAAAUAAGAUACAGCUGAAAAAACUCAUCACAAAUCUCAAUAAUUGAUGAAAUUAGAAAUCGUACAAAACGAGAACAGAAUAUAUGAUCAAUCGGUAACAAUAUCACUUAAUAUGAACUUUAAAAAGAAAAAGAAAAAAAAAGAAAGAAAAAAGUUUACAAGCUUUGGUUUCAUGGACUACAGUAAUAUCAUCACAUUUCAGAGGGGGAAGAUGAAAUAAGAAAACUCAUGAAUAGUUCAAACACUCUUACGGUAAAACCGCGAAAAAUGCUUCUCCCGCAUGCUCUUUCAUAUACGACGACUGUGACAAAGUGAAAUACGAGAUGUAACAAAAAAACCUCUAUCCCGCCAUCUUGGUGAGGCGAUGGAUCGUACUUCUUGCAACUCUAUUACCAGGAUCAAGAUUCAUGACAGUUCUGAGAUCUUCGGCUCCAAGCUUGUAUUUCUCCAUGCUCUCAUAAAGAAGGGCACGCUGGACUAGAACGGACACAUUUUUCCCUUCGCGUUCAAGCACCUGCACAAGAUAACACAGCUCUCUCAAUAUUGAUUGAAUGCUUGAGAAUGUAAUGUCUCAAAAGUUAUAGCCUAUAGGAUUCCACUUAAUGAGGGGAGGGGAGAUUCCAUCUACAUUCGUUGUAGGCAGUUUGGAAACCCAAUCAAGAUGCACAGUUUUGAGGUAAAUACAAGAUAGCAACUCGCAUACGGGCAAAAGAUAAAGGUAAAGAAGUUAACUUAUUGGAUGGCAAAAAUGGAAAUUGUAAACAUAAGGGCCCAAGCAGUGACCAGAUGAAGUACUAUUUAUUUAGGGGAGGGCGGGGGCUUUGGAUCUAUACAUAUUUGUGAAAUUUAAUGCUCAUCAUUGCUACAAAUUUCAGUUCGAAAUACAUACUUGAUUCUAUCAUAAGGCUGCUCUAACAUUCAUCAAUGUUGAUUAUCACCCAGAGAGAGAGAGCAAUUGAUGAUCAAUAUGCGUAAAGGAAUCAUAGUGCCCAAGUGAGACCACUUGGUACAUUAUGG